rnacentral:rRNA from 1 species
AUUGAACGCUGGCGGCAUGCUUUACACAUGCAAGUCGAACGGUAACAGGCCUUCAGGUGCUGACGAGUGGCGAACGGGUGAGUAAUGCAUCGGAACGUGCCCAGAGGUGGGGGAUAACGCAGCGAAAGCUGUGCUAAUACCGCAUGUGAUCUGAGGAUGAAAGCGGGGGACCAAGCAGCAAUGUUUGGCCUCGCGCCUCUGGAGCGGCCGAUGUCAGAUUAGGUAGUUGGUGGGGUAAAGGCCUACCAAGCCGACGAUCUGUAGCUGGUCUGAGAGGACGACCAGCCACACUGGGACUGAGACACGGCCCAGACUCCUACGGGAGGCAGCAGUGGGGAAUUUUGGACAAUGGGCGCAAGCCUGAUCCAGCAAUGCCGCGUGCGGGAAGAAGGCCUUCGGGUUGUAAACCGCUUUUGUACGGAACGAAAAGGCUCUGGCUAAUACCUGGGGCUGAUGACGGUACCGUAAGAAUAAGCACCGGCUAACUACGUG